rnacentral:lncRNA from 1 species
UUUUUUUUUCGUGAUGGCACCUAUAGUGUGUGCGGCAGGAUGAUAGGCUGACCUUGUUGACUGGCUUUUGCUUGCAAAUAACAUUCGAGACUUUCACUAAAAAGAAAGUCACAAGUGGCAUCUGUACACGCACGCACCUGGAUGAAGUCCCGGAGGACGAAGUCCGGCGUCAUCAUGGCCGGCGGGGGGCGGUACACGGCCAUCUCCAUCAGCCUCCUCAUGGCGGCGGGCUCGGCCGGCAGGAGCAGCUCGUGCGCGCCGCUCCACCCUUCGCCGGCCCUCUUCAGGAAGGCGCGGUCGUCGGCCGCCGUCUUGAGCAGGUCGGAGCUCGCGAUCACCACGGGGCCCACCCUCCGGGGCCCCGCCGCGCGCGCCAGCCAGUAGGCCACGAACCCGCCGUAGCUCGUGCCCGCCACGGCCACCCGCUUGCCCUUCAGCCCCUCCACCGAGUCCAGCAGCGCCGCGAGCGCCGCGGCCUGCGUGGCCUCGGACGGCGGCGGCGCCGAGGGCGAGUCCCAGGAGCUGCCGCCGAAGCCGAGCAGGUCCGGGACGAUGACGUGGAACUGGCGGGACAGCGGCCCCACCUGGCAGCGCCACUGCCAGGUGGCCCGAGGGCCGAAGCCGUGAAUGAGCAGCAGUGGCGGCAGCCGCGGCUCCCCCGCCGGCGCCCAGUAGUGCAUGGUGCAGGUGCCCGACGAGCCGCCGUCGGGGUAGGGGAGCGUGACCGAGUGGGGGCGGAGGCCGGCGGCGAGGAACUCGCGCCGGGCGAAGUAGUCGAUGAGCGGCACGACGCUGAGGCUGGCCCCCAUGGUGGCUCUAAGCGCCCCUGGCCGAUCAGGCAGAGCAGCAGCACGGCCGCUGAUGCCGCGUCAAGUUCUUGGUGUGCAGCUGUGCAUGGAAAGAGAGUGAGAACGCCACUGAUGUAUAGCGAUGUGCUGGUGGAGCUUAGCUUAAAGGUAGGGGUUCGUUCUGGUGGGAGAAAGGGAGGGUUCACAGCAUCCCGGGAUUGCAAGGGAAGAAGGCCGGUGGUUGAGUGGACCUUGAUUAUACCAUCCGAAUAGUCGGCUAUGGUGGCGCUUUCAAUUGGGCCUCGAUGACAUCUCAGCACUCAGCAGCAUCUACACUCGCCAAACCGCCAUGCUGUGUGAUAGAGGACUAUGUCCCUGUUAAACAGAUACAAGUUGAGCUAGAUUAGGCAAUGAUAUGCAGACGAGAAAUGUAGCCGUCAAGUGGAAGAUUCCGGAUUCGUUUCUUUGGACCGGAAGGAAGCACUGCACUGCACUCGGCAAAAGAAGAAGAAGAAGAACAAUAAAAGGUUGUUUGCGUUCGCGUGCAAUACAAACUGUGAAGUUAUGUAUGCAUCAAGUGGGCAGAUUGCAACAAAAUAACCCCAAAAUCAGCAUCAAAGUAUAUUUGGUGUAGGCAAGAACCACCCAACGAUUAAGAAGAUGCGGCCUGAAGCUUGACGCGACGUGCACUUGCAGCCACGGGAAAGAACAGAAAACAGUCUGUGAGGCAGGCCAGCAGGCAACCACACAGAAACAAAACAACUUUACGUAGUAGUACUCUUGUUCCAGCUAGGACAUGGCGUGGCGUAGACGCACUCAUGAACAAGCUUGCAAAGUCGCUGUUGCAUGCAAACUGUUAGACUGUAUAGUCUCUGUAGUUGUAUACGUACAUAUACGUAUGAUGUAACUUGUAUCCGUUUGUUAUAUAUAUGUGAGAUAGGCCACCCCUAGAGGGUUGAGCCGGUUCCCCCAACUCUAUUGUCUUACAUGGUAUCACGCUAGGUCAACACGCUUCCGCUCAAACCCUAAACCCCGCCGCCGUUUGUCUGUGCGCCGCUGCCGCCGUCCCUGAGAUCGCGCCGCCGCUGCCCCAGCUAUGUCGGGCUCUGCCGCCUCCGGCUCCCCCAUGGCUAGCUUCUUGCCGGCCUCUCUCGCGGCCCUCCUGUCCCGACCCAUCGACGCCGCUGCGGUCUCCACCGCCCCGAUCGAGACGAGGAGCCUCGGGUCCUUUUUCUCCUCGUCUCCGGGGCUCCCGAUCGUGCCGUCUACCGCGGGCGCUCCCUCGUCCGAGACUCGCAGCGACGCGCCGCUCGCCCCGAGUGGGGGCCAGCCGCCGAUCGCCCCGUCUCCCUCGCCCGCUUCCCGCAGCGACGCCCCGCUCGCCCCGCCUGGGGGCCAGCCGCCGAUCGCCUCGACUGGUGGGGGCUCGGCCCUCACCCUGGUGGCGCCCCCGUCGGCCAUGAUGGCGGGGUUUGCUGCUGCGGGCUCGGCCUCUUCGUCAUCUGUUCCUGCAGUCGCGACGGUGGCUGCAACCGCGGCCUCUGCCUCUACGGUGUAUCCGCCUCCGGCAGUCUACUCCGCGGGCUCCUCGCCGCCGCCGCCGUUUCACUUUGGGAACCUCAUCACCAUCAAGCUGUCCGCAGACAACUACAUCUUCUGGCGUGCGCAGGUUCUUCCGCUUCUCGGGAGUCAUUAUCUCCUGGGCUACGUCGACGGUUCUCUCCCCUGUCCCCCUGCGCUGGUGGAUAGCGUGCACGGCCCGGUCUACAAUCCGGCGCACCGUGUUUGGACAGGGCAGGACCAGGCGAACCUCUCCUCCAUCCAGGGGUCGCUCACUCCGGCGGUUGCCGGACUUGUUGUCUUCGCCAAGACUUCUCAUGAGGCAUGGACCAUCCUCGAGCGCUCGUUUGCAGCGCAGUCGCAGGCCCGUGUCUCCGCGCUUCGUCGCCAGCUUGGUGAGUGUCAAAAGCUGGAUUCUACGGCCACCGAGUUCUACAACAAGGUCAAGGGCCUUGCCGACACGUUGGCCUCCAUCGGCCAGCCCCUCACUGAUUCCGAGUUUAACUCGUUCAUUGUCAAUGCUCUCGAUGAGGAGUACGACGCCUUGGUCGAGAUCAUGAACGAGCGGGGCAACUCGAACCCCAUGAUGGCGCAUGAGGUCUUUUCCCGCCUCCUUCUCACGGAACAGCGGGUCGAGUCGCGCCGCUCCAGGGCCAGUGGGGGCUCCCUCUCGGCCAACGCCGCCACCAAGGGUGGCCGCCCUUCUUCCUCAUCCAGGGCCUCUUCGGGGCUGCCAUCGCCGCCUGCAUCGGCCCCCCCUCCUACCGCGACAUUACCGGGGGUUGGUGGCAAGCGCGUAUGUCAGCUGUGUGGCAUUGAGGGGCACUGGUCCUCUAAGUGCCACAAGCGCUUUCAGAAGAGCUUUCUGGGUCUUGGCAAUGAUGGCAAGGACACGCGCAAUUUUGCGCGUCAGGUGGCCAUGGCGGAUCGCCCAGUGUCCACUAAGCAGCAGGGGCAUACUCAGUCCUACUCUGUUGAUCCUCACUGGUACAUGGACUCUGGGGCCACGGAGCAUCUGACGAGUGAGAUGGGCAAGCUCCAUACUCGUGAACCCUACCACGGCUCCGACAAAAUCCACACUGCCAAUGGAGCAGGUAUGCAUAUAUCUCAUAUUGGUCAAGCAUCUCUUCUCACUAGGCAUGCAAAUAGGAGUCUUCAACUUCGCAAUGUGCUUAGAGUUCCCUCUGUGACACGUAAUCUUCUUUCUGUUCCUAAACUUACACGUGAUAAUAAUGUGCUUUGUGAAUUUCAUCCUUUUGAUCUUUUUAUUAAGGAUCGGGGCACGAGGGACAUUCUUCUUAGCGGGCGGUUGUGCCAGGGACUCUAUCGUCUGGAGCAUCCUGCAGUCGCUCGCGUGUUCAGUGGAGUUCGGGUAUCUCCGUCACAGUGGCAUGCUCGUCUUGGUCACCCGGCCACACCUAUCGUUCGUCAUGUUUUGCGUCGUCAUGAGCUUCCUAGUGUGUCCAGUAAUAGAGAUGUAGCAGUGUGUGAUGCUUGUCAGCAGGGGAAGAGUCAUCAACUUCCUUUUUCAGAGUCUAGUCAUGAGGUGAAACAUCCUUUAGAACUUGUAUUUUCAGAUGUAUGGGGUCCUGCUCAGACUUCUGUCAGCGGUCAUAAUUAUUAUAUCAGUUUCGUUGAUGCUUAUAGUCGUUUUACCUGGCUUUAUCUUAUUAAACGCAAAUCUGAUGUGUUUGAUAUUGUUGUUCAGUUUCAAAAACAUGUUGAACGUCUUCUCAAGCACAAAAUUGUUCAUGUUCAAUCCGAUUGGGGGGGCGAAUAUCGCAACCUCGACUCCUUCUUUCAGUCGCUUGGGAUAGCUCAUCGUUUAGCAUGUCCACAUACACAUCAACAGAAUGGUUCUGUCGAACGUAAGCAUCGUCACAUUGUUGAAACUGGUCUUACUCUUUUGGCCCAUGCAUCAGUUCCGUUUCGAUUCUGGAGUGAUGCUCUCACCACUGCAUGUUUUCUCAUAAACCGUACUCCCACUCGUGUCUUGAAUAUGAAGACUCCCGUUGAGGUUCUCCUUAAUGAAUAACCUGAUUAUACAUUUUUUAAGGUCUUUGGGUGCGCUUGCUGGCCACAUCUCCGCCCAUACAACAAGCGCAAGCUUGAGUUUCGCUCCAAAAAGUGUGUUUUUCUAGGCUAUAGCUCUCUUCAUAAAGGGUACAAAUGUCUUCAUGUUCCCACCAAUCGUGUCUACAUAUCCCGGGAUGUCGUGUUUGAUGAGCAUGUUUUUCCAUUUGCCAAGCUUCCUGUGUCCACUGUUGAACCACCCUCCUUGCAUUCAUCCUCUGUUGCUGCUGACCAAUUGGAUGAUAUUGCAUACUCUCCUAUAUUGUUGCCUAACCAUGGUGCAGGCACUGGACGUGGGGCGCUUGGAAAUUCUGGAGGCGCCAGUGGCUCACGACGAUCAUGGUGAGUUGCAUGGCCUCGGCCCCCAUGCCCAUGCACGUCCGGUCGAUCUUCCCGCGACGCAUGCUUCUACGCCCAUGGACUCUGGGUCGGCCUCGCCGCUUCGGCCUGUCGCGACUACCGCACCAGAGGAGUCUGGGUCGGUCUCGCCUAGGCUGGUUUCCUCGCCAUGCAGACCGGUGGCCCCGUCGGCCUCGACACACCCGGCUCCUGAGCCGGCCUCGGUGCCAUGCAGCCCGGUGGCCCCGUCGGCCUCGGCGCCCCUGGCCUCGCUGCGUUGCUCGCCGCCCUCGGUGCCUCUGGCUUCUGAGCCAGCCUCGCCACCUUGCUCGGUCACGCCGGCCUUGUCGCUUCCUCGGCCUUCCUCGCUGGUUACGCCUGGGCCAAGCUCACCGGUCUCCGAUGUGCCCUCACCGGCGCUCUCCGAGGUCUCUCCGUCGUCAGCCGAGCUGUCCUCGCCAUCGUCGCCAUCAUCACCAGAGUCCUCUCCGGCUCCUGUACCUACUGUGCUCCCUCAGCGACCACAUACACGGAGUCGCAGUGGCAUCGUUCAGCCUAAACAGCGACAUGAUGGGACUGUUGCUUGGUUGGCUGCCUGUAUGGCUGCUACUCGUGCGGAUCCUUCCUCUGAACCGCGCACGUAUCAGGCUGCUUUGAGUCUACCUCAUUGGCGAGAGGCUAUGGAGCAGGAGUAUCAUGCUCUCCUUCGUAACAAGACAUGGACUCUUGUUCCGCCACCACCCCGUGUUAAUGUCAUUGACUCCAAAUGGGUUUUCAAAGUGAAGAAGCAUUCAGAUGGUUCUAUUGAGCGCUACAAGGCGCGGCUGGUUGCUCGAGGUUUUCGGCAGCAUUAUGGUCUUGAUUAUGAAGACACCUUCAGCCAGUGGUUAAACCUACUACUAUCAGGCUUCUUCUCUCUCUUGCAGUUACUCGGGGUUGGUCUCUUCAUCAGCUGGAUGUGCAGAAUGCUUUUCUCCAUGGUGUUCUUGAAGAGGAGGUAUAUAUGCGGCAGCCUCCAGGGUUCUCUGAUCCCGAUCGUCCUGAUUAUCUAUGUCGGCUUACUAAAGCACUCUAUGGUCUGAAGCAAGCUCCUCGUGCUUGGCAUGCUCGUCUUGCGACGGCCCUUCGUGCUCAUGGUUUUGCAUCCUCAGCUGCUGACUCCUCGUUGUUUCUUCUUCAGAGGCCUGCAGUUACCAUGUAUCUGCUUGUUUAUGUGGAUGAUAUUAUCCUUGUCAGUUCCUCUCAGUCGGCUGCUGAUGCUCUUGUUUGGUCUCUUGGUGCUGAUUUUGCGGUCAAAGAUCUUGGGCGGCUUCACUACUUUCUUGGAGUUGAGGUUGCUUCUGUGUCCAGUGGUCUGAUUAUGACGCAAAAGAAGUACUCCUUGGAUUUGUUACAGCGAGCUGCGAUGCUUAAGUGCAAACCGACUACUACACCUAUGUCUGCUACUGACAGGAUUACUGCUGUUGCUGGUGAUCUCCUGUCUUCUGCUGAUGCGACAUAGUACAGGAGUAUUGUUGGUGGUUUGCAGUACCUGACUAUCACACGUCUUGACAUCUCUUUUGCAGUUAACAGAGUAUGUCAGUAUCUUCAGGCACCUCGUGAUACUCAUUGGUCUGCAGUGAAGCGCAUCUUGCGCUACAUUCGUUUCACGUUGUCCUAUGGUUUGCACAUUCGACCGAAUCCCUCUGGGGUCAUCUCGGCGUAUUCUGAUGCGGAUUGGGCUGGCAGUCCAGAUGACAGGCGAUCCACGGGGGGCUAUGCUGUGUUCUUUGGUUCUACCUUGAUCGCCUGGAGUGCUCGGAAACAGGCUACUGUUUCACGUAGCAGUACUGAAGCUGAGUAUAAGGCUGUGGCUAAUGCAACUGCAGAAAUUAUCUGGAUACAGUCUUUGCUUCAGGAGUUGGGAAUAUCUCAGUCACAGUCUCCUAUUCUUUGGUGUGAUAACAUCGGUGCUACAUACCUAUCUGCUAAUCCGGUAUUCCAUGCCCGAACGAAACACAUUGAAGUGGACUAUCAUUUUGUACGGGAACGGGUAUCUCAGAAGCAACUACAGAUCAAGUUUAUCUCUUCCAAGGAUCAACUUGCGGACAUCUUCACCAAGCCAUUACCUCUUCCACAGUUUGAGACUUGUAGGCGCAAUCUUACCCUUCUAGAUUCUUUAGGAAGUGGCUAAGAUUGAGGGAGGGUGUUAGACUGUAUAGUCUCUGUAGUUGUAUACGUACAUAUACGUAUGAUGUAACUUGUACCCGUUUGUUAUAUAUAUGUGAGAUAGGCCACCCUAGAGGGUUGAGCCGGUUCCCCCAACUCUAUUGUCUUACACAAACCCACCCAAAUUCUAGCCCAUCAUCAAUAUUCAUUUCAAAAGUGUUUAAGAAACGUUUACUAUGCUUAUGACCAGUGAAGUGAACACCCUCUAAAAUGCAGUAGAAACACGGUGAAGCAGUAAACACACGGCGUAAAACGUGUAAACUCGCACUUGUUAACGAAAAUAUACAACAAAGUUCAGAGCCACCAUUCCACCCCAUUUUGAAUGGCCGGAGGCAUUCAGAUCACACCCUAUCUCUCUCCUUUUUUUCAAUAUUUUGAGCAGACAUUUAGACCAUAGUAGCUCUUCCUCUUUUUUACACAUUACAUUACAUGAUUAUACAUACCUAAAAGGAUUACAAUGUAGUGCACCAUUUGGGCCUCUGGGAUAACUCUGUGUAUGUUUUCCAGAGAGUACCGAUGCUCUGAGCAGGCU